rnacentral:rRNA from 1 species
AUUGAACGCUGGCGGCAGGCCUAACACAUGCAAGUCGAGCGGAUGAAGGGAGCUUGCUCCUGGAUUCAGCGGCGGACGGGUGAGUAAUGCCUAGGAAUCUGCCUGGUAGUGGGGGAUAACGUCCGGAAACGGGCGCUAAUACCUCAUACGUCCUGAGGGAGAAAGUGGGGGAUCUUCGGACCUCACGCUAUCAGAUGAGCCUAGGCCGGAUUAGCUAGUUGGUGGGGUAAAGGCCUACCAAGGCGACGAUCCGUAACUGGUCUGAGAGGAUGAUCAGUAACACUGGAACUGGACAAGGGUCCAGACUCCUAGGGGAGGAACAGGUGGGGAAUAUUCGACAAUGGGGGAAGGCCUAAUGCAGAACUGCCGGGUGUGGGAAGAAGGUCUCCGGAUGGAAAAGCACGUUAAGCUGGGAGGAAGGGCAGUAAGUUAAUACCUUGAUGUAUUGACGUUACCAAAAGAAAAAGCACCGGCUAACUACGUG